UUUAAUCUGAUGCCAGCAUCUGUGCAACUCCUAGUCAAAUUUUUCUAUUAAACACUUUUCUUUUUUGCCAGAAAACUCAAAUCAAACAUGGAUGGAGCUUUUCCCCCACGUGCUUUCCUUUCUCCCUCAUUCACAUUCUGGUUGCAGCUAGCAGAUACUGUGACACUGAUUUGUCAAAAUUUCAACACCUUAUUUCAACACCUUUCAAAUCAAGCUUGCAAUAGCAAGAAUCAGAGUCAUAGACUAUCAGUGCAAGUAACAGAUGAAUCUCCCAGGAAACCCCUGUUAAGAACUGAGUGGAGCAUUGCUAAGGGCUUAUGCAAGUGUUCCUCUGCAGAAUCAGGCCAGAUUCCCACCUGAAGGUUCAAGGAUGGCCUUUUCUGCAUCUGUGUUCUGAGUCUGUUGGAGAAGCUGUCCAUACAGCUGCUCAGUACUGCUGCUGCCUAGCACUGUGCAUCGGCCUCCACAUCAACUGUGUAGUGAUUUUAGUGCCAUUUCUGAAAUCUCAGAAGAAACAACUUCCUGGCCUAAAUAAACUUUUGUUUAAAAAAGAUAACAAAGAAUUUAAAAUGAAAGAAAGACAGCUCUGUAGGAAUUUUCUGUAAGAAUAGGGGUCUCCUUAUUAAAGGUAUUUGAGAGGUCAAAUGUUUCGUGGCCACGUAGAUUCUUUUGGUCUUGAUUCUUAAAAUACUCCUUAACUGCAGUCUCCUUCAUAUUACAUAUGCUUCCUCUCUAAUAUACCUUUCUUGGAAUCAAUUCACAUGCAAGUUCUAUCCAAAACAUCUGCUGAAAGUACCUACUCCUGAGAGCACUAAUCUCAAUAUUUACUUAGUUAUGCACUUAUACUGAACAUCCCCAGCUAAUACAAAAGGCAAUUAGUUUGCUGAUUCAUGGACUCUUUUACUUCAGUUUCAGCUAGAAGCAAUAAAAAUUAAGGUUGAAUGUGCCUCUGAAAAGGC
rnacentral:lncRNA from 1 species